rnacentral:rRNA from 1 species
GAUGAACGCUGGCGGCGUGCCUAAUACAUGCAAGUCGAGCGAACAGACGCGAAGUUUGCUCCUCACACGUUAGCGGCGCACGUGUGAGUAACACGUGGAUACCCUCCCUCUAUUCCUGGUAUACCUUCGGGAAUCCGGCUCUAAUCCCGUAUAAUAUAUUUAACCGUAUGGUUCAAUAGUGAAAUACGGUUUUGCUGUCACUUCUCGAUGUAUCCGCGCUUCAUUAGCUAGUUGGUAAGGUAACGGCUUACCAAGGCAACGAUGCGUAGCCGACCUGAGAGGGGGAGAGGACACAAGGGAACGGAGAGACGGUCCAGAAUCGUAAGGGAGGCAGGAGUAGGGAAGGUUGCGCAAUGGGCGAAAGCCUGACGGAGCAAGGAAGCGUGAGGGAGGAAGGUCUUCGGAGCGUAAAACGCUGUUAUGAGGGAAGAACAAAUGUGUAAGGAACAAGGCACGUCGUGACGGUACUUAAUCAGAAAGCAACGGCUAACUACGUG